CUUGGAACAGAAUGUCAAAGAGGGUGAGAAUCCCGUCUUGGACCGGCGGUAGGGCCUGUGUAAAACUCCUUCGACGAGUCGAGUUGUUUGGGAAUGCAGCUCAAAAUGGGUGGUAAAUUUCAUCUAAAGCUAAAUAUUGGCCAGAGACCGAUAGCGCACAAGUAGAGUGAUCGAAAGAUGAAAAGAACUUUGAAAAGAGAGUUAAACAGUAUGUGAAAUUGUUGAAAGGGAAGCGCUUGCAACCAGACUUGAGCGCGACGGUUCCCCUAGCCUUUUGGCUAGGUUACUCCGUCGUGUCCAGGCCAACAUCGGUUCUGAGGGUCGGUCAAAGGCUCUGGGAAUGUAUCUACCCACGGGUAGACUUAUAGACCAGGGUGUCAUGCGGCCUCUCGGGACCGAGGAACGCGCUUCGGCUCGGAUGUUGGCGUAAUGGUUGUCAGCGACCCGUCUUGAAACACGGACCAAGGAGUCUAACAUCUAUGCGAGUGUUUGGGUGUCAAACCCGGAACGCGAAAUGAAAGUGAACGGAGGUAGGAAGCUUCGGCUGCACUAUCGACCGAUCCUGAAGUUUACGGAUGGAUUUGAGUAAGAGCAUAGCUGUUGGGACCCGAAAGAUGGUGAACUAUGCCUGAAUAGGGUGAAGCCAGAGGAAACUCUGGUGGAGGCUCGCAGCGGUUCUGACGUGCAAAUCGAUCGUCAAAUUUGGGUAUAGGGGCGAAAGACUAAUCGAACCAUCUGGUAGCUGGUUCCUGCCGAAGUUUCCCUCAGGAUAGCAGUAACGUUUUCAGUUUUAUGAGGUAAAGCGAAUGAUUAGAGGCCUUGGGGUUGAAACAACCUUAACCUAUUCUCAAACUUUAAAUAUGUAAGAAGUCCUUGUUACUUAAUUGAACGUGGACAUUUGAAUGUACCGUUACUAGUGGGCCAUUUUUGGUAAGCAGAACUGGCGAUGCGGGAUGAACCGAACGUGAGGUUAAGGUGCCGGAAUGCACGCUCAUCAGACACCACAAAAGGUGUCAAUGCAUCUAGACAGCCGGACGGUGGCCAUGGAAGUCGGAAUCCGCUUAGGAGUGUGUAACAACUCACCGGCCGAAUGCAUUGGCCCUGAAAAUGGAUGGCGCUUAAGCGUGCUACCUAUACCUCGCCGUUAGGGUUGACAUGAUGCCCUAACGAGUAGGCAGGCGUGGAGGUCCGUGACGAAGC
rnacentral:rRNA from 1 species